UCACUUCUCUGGCAGGUAGAGCACAGUCAUGAUGUGGACUCGGCCAGUCGGCACCCACGCGGGGACUUCCACUGAGGGGCUUGUGACAUAAGGGAACCAAUGGGAGCAUUAGGACUGGUUCCAGAGGUGGAAGUGCUGGAAUCCGGUGCCCACGGUCCCCACUGGAGAGUUCCCCAGUGUCGUUCAGACAUUAUUCCCAAAUGUGCAGACUCCGACGAGCCUGAUGUGCUCCCAGAGUCUGGGGGCUCCCCCGACCCCCUUUCCUAAAUCCCUUUCCUGCUCCAGUGGCUGGAGUGAGCCCCAGCGGGGAAGCACCCCGACAAUGUGCAGCCCAAACCUCCCACUUUCUGCGCUCGCUCGUCCCCUCCGUGUCUGAGCAGUUGGCGGCCCUGCAGAGCCACCCCAAGUGUCUGAUAUGGAAGAGCCUCUCCUUGUCACCUCCUGGAGGCAGCUGACAGACUAACAGAGCAGAAAACAUGGAGUUUUGCUUCCAAAUAGGAAAAUUGGAUUGUAAAUCAAUGGAGAGCCCAUCUGGGAGCGCGUUCUCGCAAAUCCCGAACGCCACAAGCUGGAGGACACGGUGUCCCUGGAGAAUACUCUGUGUUGACAUCAGUAACUACUAAGAAACGGUACUGGGAACCAGAACGUCGUUAGGAAAGCUGGUCCUCAGGAAAGUGACAGCCAAGCACAGACCUGAAGAAAGUGACGGCAUGAACCAAGCUUCUAAAUGAGGAAAGAGAGCUCAGCGAGCACAGCAAGUGCAAAGGCCCUGAGGCAGAACCUUGUCCCACACGCUGGAGACACAGGACUAUUCUACGCAGAGCACUGUCGGAAAUUCCGAGCCUUGAAGGAGAUGUCCUGACGGAGGUGAUGGGAGUCACACGCGUGCGAAGAUGCUCGCCGAAGCGCGGCAGCCUGUUAGACUGUUUGUUGUGCAGCCUCUGCUCUGUCUCCCUCCGGAGGAGAAUGGAAGCAGCCAAAGCAGUGACAUGUGUUUGCUUUGUAAACCACCAGUCUUUGCGGUCCGUUUGCCCGCUCAUCAGCAACCCCGCAGCAGUACUGGAGGUCGGUACUGUUAUCAUUGCACCUUACACGGGUGGGGAAACCGAGGCACGCUGCCCAGACCUCUUCUCAAACUUCUCAGGAGCAGAUUUCCACCAUUCCCAGCUUCCCUGGUCUUUCGCCCGGGCCCCACUCAGGGUCCCUUACGUGCUACCCAACCCCACAGAGCUGCAACCAUAAAGACUCAGUUUUUUAAACAAAUGGACCAGAAUAUGUUUUGCAUCCGAUUCUUCUUGAGCCCCGCAGCGCGGUCUCCAGGAGGAAUCGCACUCGUUCCAACAACGGAGUCAUGGUCAAGGUGCUCAGAGCUGGAGCGGGAACCGCACAGACAUCUGCCCCUUUAUUGCAGAGCCACACCUUGCCCGACCGUCCGACAGCACUCCGGACAGCGGCACAUUUCCUUACUAUUGAUUUUGAACCCGAAUCAGCCGCAGACAUUUGUAAGUGCCAGCCCCGCUCUCCAGGGCCAGGCAGGUGGACAUACUAUCCUCACAGUCGCACAGAGGCCCGCGCUCGGCAGGGCCCACGCUCGGUUUAACGCUCUGCCCUUCGCCGAUUUGAAAUGCUUCAGAAGUUUUGGACACAGGACCCUGCAUUGGGCCCCAAACCUUAUGUAGUGGGACCCACCUCCAGUUUGCCCCAGUUGGUGUAUGUAUGUUCUCAGGUAUUGAGAAACGCAGGUUUCGGAUUAAAGGCAACUCCCUUCCCAAGAGAAAUCUCCAAGUGUCUGAUCAGUGGGUGUGUCCCCAGAGGGUCCCACUCAGAAAAGUCUGUGCUCGUUGAGAUUCAUAAGUGCCACUGAGUUGGUUAAACAACACAGAUCCUACCACUGCUUAGCUCAUACCUGAAGAGUGAGGUCACGAUUUUAACAUCUAGGCCGGGCCAGAGAUGGAACAUCACUGGAGUGUGGCCAGGAGGCUCCCGGUUAGUUUCUUCCUUUCUCAUUUCCUGCUUCAGGAUAGGUUUGAUCAGGGUGUCACUGAGCUCUGGCAGUCCUGUUGAUAGGUCUGGGGCUAGAGCAAUUUGUGUUCUGUGCCCCAGAUUGUCUAUACUUGGGUAAAGUGAUGCCUUCCUCCUUUGGUUGGUUUGUCCUGCAGGCCCCACCCAAGUCCCCAAGGCCCCCAUUGUCACCCACCCAGGAGGUGCUAUGAGGACCCAUAGCCUUUCCCAUCACAGUUCCAGAAAUGCCCCCAGCACCAGGCCAUUCUUCCCUCCAAAACAUUUAGGAGAAGGCUUUGAACAACUAGAAAAUGAAGAAGACAGUUUCCCAGCAUAAAAUGAAAACAUGGGGCCUCUUGUUAAAAAAUUACUAGGAAUUUCAAGACAA